AGCACACAGCCAACCUACCACUGCAAAGGGGAUCAGCCAAAGGCUUCUGCCUCUCCUGGGGCAGCUUAAAAAGGGGAGGUCAAUUGAAGUCUCCUCCCACCCCAGCUGUGGCCAAUUUGCCCUCCCUGCUCAGUGCCCUUUAUAAGCAGUGCAGGAGGAGCCCAGCCCCAAGCUGGGCCCAUUGUGGGCCAAGGGAUCCUCUGCCUGGCAUCCCAGGUGAGUGCGCACGGGCGAGCACCGGGUGCCUGGUGGAGGGUUUCAAAGGCCGGGGGGCCUGGCUGGCCCCCCGGCUAGCUAGGGCCAUCUUAGGGCUAGGCUGCUGACCCACUGCAACAUCCACCUUAGCUCACGGGUGCUAAGUCUGUGUUGUUACUGAGGCUGAGUUUGCUCUAGGAGCUUGGAUCCUCGAAGGUUUUGCUCUGGGUUCUGCGGUGGAGGCAAAGAUGGAGCAGGAGCACGAACUGGAGCUGGUAACAGACCAGGAUCUUCACAAGUUUUACUCUAGGUUCUGCAAUGGAUGUGAACAUGGAGCAGGAGCAUGAACUGGAGCUGGUAACGAACCAGGAUCUUCACAAGUUUUACUCUAGGUUCUGCAAUGGAUGUGAACAUGGAGCAGGAGCAUGAACUGGAGCUGGUAAUGGACCAGGAUCUUCACAAGUUUUACUCUAGGUUCUGCAAUGGAUGUGAACAUGGAGCAGGAGCAUGAACUGGAGCUGGUAACGGACCAGGAGCAGCAGCUGAUCUCACCUUGCUUGUUAUGUAGUGGAUCUUUUCAUCAGCAGGGGAUGGAUGGCAAAGGAACUCAGAAAGAUAGCUGCUGCAGAUAGUAUUUGCAGGAUUAAGCAGAUGAGUAUCAAAUACCUUUGACUAGCCUCAAAGAGAACUUAAAAGUGGUGAAAGGGUAAAUCACGACAUUUAAUUCCUACCUCUUGUUGCUGUUUCUUGGAACAAUUAACACAAAAAUUAAUGUAUGAGUACUUGAACUAUUUUGUAAGUCAGACACAUCAAAAAGCUUCUAUGUACUGUGUGGAGUGGCAUUACUGUGGAGAACUUGAGAGGAGUUGUAGGACCUGAGACAAAUGUUAGGAGCUUUUUUUUGUGUAAGGUGAAAAUUCACAUGUUUUAUCUAAAAUUAUUGUAGUAAAAUAUGCAGGCACAUAUUAGUCUGUUAGGCAAACUCCUCUGACUACCAGCAACAUGGGUAUAGAAAUUUUAGCUGUCAUUAUAACACUAAUAAAAGAAGUCUGUAAAAGACAGUUUAAAGACAA